GUGGGGAAUAUUGGUCAAUGGACGAAAGUCUGAACCAGCCAUGCCGCGUGGAGGAUGAAGGUCCUCUGGAUUGUAAACUUCUUUUAUAUGGGACGAAAAUGGGGCUUUCUAGCUCAACUGACGGUACCAUACGAAUAAGCACCGGCUAACUCCGUGCCAGCAGCCGCGGUAAUACGGAGGGUGCAAGCGUUAUCCGGACUCACUGGGUUUAAAGGGGACGUAGGCGGUUAAUUAAGUCAGUAGUGAAAGACUGGCGCUCAACGACGGAUGUGCUAUUUGUACUGGUUAACUUGAAUCAGGUUAGAGUUGGCGGAAUGGCUCAUGUAGCGGUGAAAUGCUUAGAUAUGACUUGGAACACCGAUAGCGAAGGCAGCUGACUGAGCCUUGAUUGACGCUGAGGUACGAAAGUGUGGGUAGCGAACAGGAUUAGAUACCCCUGUAGUCC
rnacentral:rRNA from 1 species